rnacentral:lncRNA from 1 species
UCUUCAGCUUCCAUAGGCAGGUUCUGCUUCCCUCAAACUUAGGAAAGGGCUUCAGAUGUGGAGCAGCCUAAAAGAAUGACACAUGCCCACUCUAAUUAGCUGGCCAAAUUAGUUCUACAGAAGAGAAGUACCAUGGGAUUUUGGAGCAGAAAGUGAUGAUUCUGAGGAGGCUUUAGAGGAGGGGAGAUUUGAUCAAGUCUUGAAGGAUGAGAAAGUUGGUAGGGUUGUAGGUAGGGAUAGGAGAAGGAUUUCGAGAGACACAUAUGGAAUGACAAUAUUAAGAAUGCUGAACUGGGGAAAACAAAUGCAAGCGCUGUGCUAGCAGGAAGGUCUGUGAUGUUUGCAGUAAAGCCAUUAUGAAGUCAAGAAUGGAGGUUCCAUUUUUAAAGAACUCAGAGGGGGUAGAUCUUGAUUGACAUCUCAUCUGGGGUCACCUGGUCUUCAACUGAGAGAUCUUUUGGUUCGCCACGGAUGCCCCUUGCAGUUAUGGAAGCUUCCCUGACCAGAGAUCGUUUUGAGUUUCCUUCUCUGGAAUUUGACCACUGAGCAGAGACACAUAGGACAGAAGAUGUGAAUGCUGAGUCAUCAAUCAGCAUCACUGGGAAGAAAAAGCCUCUCAGUUUCUUCUGCUGGGACUCCCAGAGCUGGAGUAUUUUCUGCUCUUCCUAAGGCCUGGUAAUUCAGCUCUUUGUGAGACUGUGAGCUUUACCAUACCCUUCCAGUAGCAACCUUCUUCUUUUUUAAGUUCAUUGCGGGGAAUAGGGAAUGAUGGCUGAUGGACAUAGGGUUUCUUUUUGGGGUGACAAAAAUGUUCUAAAAUUAAGUGGUGGUGAUGGUUGCACAAUUUUGAAUAUACUAAAAACUGUGAAUUCUAAAGUUUAAAUGGGUGAAUUCUGUGCUAUAUAAAUUGUAUCUCAAUGAAAUUACUAAUAUUCUAAAGCCUCCCAAGUGCCUUAGAUGUUCAGUGAGUGUUGAAAGCCAGUUUUUUAUCACAUCCUUAAGUCCUGCUACCUAUCUCUCAGUCUCUAAGUUCAGUUUCCUCUUUGGUUUGACUUGGACCAAUCUGCAACAACUCUUGAUGUUUCUUGUAAAUUC